GCCUCCUUAGCUCAAUGGAUCGAGCAGCGCUCUUCUAAGGCGUUGAUGUAGGUUCGAUUCCUACAGGGGGCG
rnacentral:tRNA from 1 species